rnacentral:rRNA from 1 species
GUGACUCAGGAAAAGUUUAAAGGGAAGCCCAAGGGGCAUUGGAACCCCAAGAAAGUGAAGGCUAAAGAAGGAAAUGACGUGAUGGAUUUUCCGUGUCACAUCCACACGAAGAAAGAUGAGGAGGGUAAUUUCAUUUACCCGAAGCAUACCACUCGGCAGUGUCGGCUCUUGAUCCAGCAGUUCCAGGGGAAGCAGCCCAAGGACAAGGAAAAAGAGUCGGACAAAGUUGAUGACAAAGAAGAUAGUGAUGAUGGAUAUCCCCUGGUCAAUUCCACCCUGAUGAUUUUUGCUGACGUUGAAAGCAAAAGUCGACUAAAAGUUAUAAACUGA